rnacentral:piRNA from 1 species
UAGUAAUGCAAUGCUGUAAAUAUGAAAUUG